rnacentral:lncRNA from 1 species
UAACACUUCUGUUUGUCCUUCUUACGUCAAAGAGCCUUAAUCUUUUAAAUAUGUUUCAUAACCUCCCAGCAUCUGAAAACACCAUAUUAUCUGCAACUUCUGGGCAAAGGAGAAAGGGCUAUGUCUACCACCUUUUGUCCAAUGGAUCCAUGUCCCAAAGUGACUUUGCAAUGGAAGGUGAGAACCUGUUCGUCCCCACCUGGCUGCCAUCCCUGCUCAGCUCUCUUAAUGGGGCAUCCCGUGCUGAGUGAGAUGACAAGGCUUAGAGGCCAGAAGAGGAAUGUCCUACGUGAACGUGAUUUAACAGCUCCAUCGCCUGGGGCCACGUGGAAUUCUUGAAGCAGCUGUGUCAGACAUCCGAGUCAAGUUGGGGCAUGAGUGACCUCUCAACAUCUAAUGGAGCAUUUACUCCUUAGGCAGUUGAUGACAAUAGUUCUCCAAACCUGCUGAUCCCAAGGUGGCAGGUUUCCCGGUCAGCUGUGGCUCUGAAGUAGGAGGGGUUUGCAGGAGUAUCACACACAGCUGUAGAAGGAACAGAAUCAGAGCUGGAGAGGGAGAAUUGCUCCAUGGCCAUGAGUGGGUGUCCUCUCAAGCGGAGCCCCGAGUCCAGUAGAACUUGAGGCUUUUCGCCAACCCACGAAGUGCAGAUGGUAACGCUUGCUGUUGUGUCCCUGAGACUAUAUAGGGCCUAGUGUCUGGUUUAUGCCCUUGCACUGGGUCACUCUCACCCUGGAAUCACCCGGCUGGGGACUGAACCUCUCCUGCCACCACUCCAACUCCUCCUGAGACACUCACCUCCUAAGACACUCACCUCCUGGAAAGGCCACAUCUGUUUGCCAAGGACAGAGGCACCUUCUUUGGUCCAGAGAGCUGCAGGCUGUGGUUUAUUUCGCUGGCGACCUCUUCAUCACCAGGACUGUUCCAUAGAGUGCUGUGGUACCCGUGAAAGCCAAACUUCUAAGCUUCUCAAGUUCAAAUGAUAACUUCUCUCUGUUACCUUUUGUCAAGAAAACUUUGGAUUAUGAAUCUCCGUUAUGGGGGCUCAUAAAAUGAAUUGGGGUGCAUUCAUAGAGUUGGAACACUCUGGAGCCACUGAAAAGAAUGCGGCAAAGCUGUAAAAAGGAAAGAUGUCUGUGAUAUCAUCUAUAUUCUUUUAUGUUGUUAAGUGACAAAAUCCAGCUGUAGAGGAGCAUGAAUUGUUUUAUUCCAUGUUUAUUACAUAAUGAGUGUAGUGUCGGGAAAGCCAUAUACCAAAUUGUUCACAAUGGUUAUCUUGGGGGAGUGGAGCUUGGGAACUUGUACUCUUUGCUUGAUGCAUCUCUGCUUUGUCUCUCUCUUGAAUCAGCAUGAAUAAUUUUUUAAAAUUAGAAAACCUUCUUAUUAAUAUGGAGGUAAAUAUUGGGGCAGUCCAAGAUGGCAGCGGUCUCACGGUGAGGCCCUUGUUUUAUGGGAAGAACAUGAAGGUAGGAGUUUAAGAAACCCGAUUUUUCUCUUAACCAGGGGUUUUUCCUAAUUUUUUGUGCCAUGAUCCCUCAGGACAGUGUGAUGAAGUUUUUGGCUCCCUUCUCAGAACAAUGCCUUAGGGGCAUAACGUGAAAUACGUAGAAUUACAAAAGAAGCCAAAUAUAUUGAAAUAUAGUUAUCAAAAUACUUUUUAAAAAUUUUAUGAUAUAGUAAUAUAUGUGUAUUAAAAUAUAAGAUCUGGCUGCAGGUCUAAUAACGAUUUAAUUUAAAACUAGCCAUGAGCAUAAGUGAUAUUUUGAGAAAUCUGCAACAGCUGAAUAUUGCAUGAAAAUGUCUGUGACUUCUGGUGACAAAGUCAGAUGUGCUAGUGCUACUGUGGUUUGUCACCUUCUUCAUAAAUGAAGAAAAUGCUAGAUUGUAGUUAGAGGUAGUGAAAAUAAAGACGUAAUUUCCCAUCCAAUAUCAUAGAUCCCUGUUUAAAUUUCCCAGCCUAACAUCUAAUGUUCUUAACUGGCUGGGAAGUGUUGAAUAAUAUUGUUCCCGCCCUCACAGUCUCAACUGUUUCAUCAGUAAAAUGAGGGGCUAAGUGAUGGCAAAUGUGUAUGAUCUUACAUGUCAACUGUGAUUGAUUGGUAGUGACUUGGUGAGGCAUUUUGAGAUCACCUCUGAGUUCAAUUGGAAAGGAUGCCAAUUGGAAAGGAUGAAUGAUUGGUGAUGUCUGCCAUGGGUACUAGAUGGGGGAGAGAGCAAAGCGUGCAUGGCGUACAUGUCCAUUCCUUGACUAGAUGAGCCUGUGGCCCCUUCCACCUCUGAUAUUCUACUAUGUAUGAAAGUAAUUAUUCUCUUCUGAUUCUAAUUUAACAUAUCUCCUGUCCAACAACAAGAGCAACAACACAAGCAUUGGUUAGCCCUUCCUGGGGGCUUUGUGUGUGUGUGGCAUUGGCACUACCAACUCUACCCCUGUGGACCAAGUCUUCUGAUAGACUUUUUAUUAAGUAAAAUUGUAAGCAUUACCUCCAGUUUCAAUGAUAGAAUGGUUACUGGGAACAGAUUGUCUAGGAAGAAAACACAAAUUAGUAAACACAGUCUUACAAAUGAGCCAUCUGGAGAUUUAUUUACAUAAGAAAAGAGGAAGGACUUGGUAUUUUCAUGCUGGGGUUUGUUUCUCUUGCAAGUAGCCACAGGGGUGUAUUUAUCACGAGCACACAUUGAGCUUUUUAGUGAAGAUCACUGAAAGCAUGAAAAAAAAAUGCGCAUUUGGUUGGUUAUUUGGGAAAUGGGAAGGAAGAGAAGGGAGAGAGUAAGAGAGUCACACAUACACAUAUGCACACAAAGUUUUUGAAUGAAUUUUAGCAUAUAAGAUUUCAAAAUAGUUACAAUAUUUCACACCGUGCUUUUGAAAUUUUAUAUUAUUCCCAAAGUGCUAAAUGAGAAACAUUUUUCUAAAACAAUAUCAAAGGUGGAGGCAUUCAGCUAUCACGCAAAUAUAGAGGGGCCACGAAUAAUGCUGAGGGGACCAAAACCUUGACACCAGUUGACCAGCAGUGGGAACAGUGAUCCCUUGACCUCAGAGAGCUCCCUGGGUGUCAGACCAGCUCUGCAGAACCACUUAACCCCUCCUGCACCUUGUCCUUUUAUCCACUAAUACUAAAUGCCAAAAACUAAAAAACCCAAAUUUGUGAUACAGUGAUAUAUGUGCUCUUUCAAUGCAUUAAAAUACAAGAUCUAGCUGUAGGUCUGAUAACUACUAUCAUUUAGAAUUAGC